rnacentral:rRNA from 1 species
GAUGAACGCUGGCGGCGUGCCUAAUACAUGCGAGUCGAGCGAACAGACGAGGUGCUUGCUCCUCUGACGUUAGCGGCGGACGGGUGAGUAACACGUGGAUAACCUACCUAUAAGACUGGGAUAACUUCGGGAAACCGGAGCUAAUACCGGAUAAUAUAUUGAACCGCAUGGUUCAAUAGUGAAAGACGGUUUUGCUGUCACUUAUAGAUGGAUCCGCGCCGCAUUAGCUAGUUGGUAAGGUAACGGCUUACCAAGGCAACGAUGCGUAGCCGACCUGAGAGGGUGAUCGGCCACACUGGAACUGAGACACGGUCCAGACUCCUACGGGAGGCAGCAGUAGGGAAUCUUCCGCAAUGGGCGAAAGCCUGACGGAGCAACGCCGCGUGAGUGAUGAAGGUCUUCGGAUCGUAAAACUCUGUUAUUAGGGAAGAACAAAUGUGUAAGUAACUAUGCACGUCUUGACGGUACCUAAUCAGAAAGCCACGGCUAACUACGUG